GGGGGCUGAUCCUGUGGUCGUCGUGCCGUGGGCUCGGCAACGCGCUCAAGGGCUCGCCGAUCGACGCCCUGAUCCGGUCGUGCCUCCUCGAGGAGCGCUCGGCCGAGACCUCCUUCGCCCACGACGCCUACACCCUCAAGUGGGCCUUCCACAACGAGCUCGGCCUCGUCUUCGUCGCCGUCUACCAGCGGAUUCUCCAUCUCCUCUACGUCGACGACCUUCUCGCCGCCGUGCGCCGCGAAUUUGCCGAAAUCUACGACCCGAAGCGCACCUCCUACGAUGAUUUCGACGAGACCUUCCGCCAGCUCCAGAAGGAGGCCGAGGCCCGCGCCGAGGAGAUGAAGAAGUCCAAGCAGGCCGGCCGCGCCCCGGCCGUGCCGGGCAAGAAGCAGGGUGCCGGCGGUGCUGCGCAGCGCGACGCUAAGCAGAAAGGCAACGGCG
rnacentral:lncRNA from 1 species